AUUUUUUUUCUGGUUUACUAGCUGUUUACAGUGAAAGUGCAAUGCCCAUGGCAGAUGUCUUAGUCUGUUUGGGCUGCUAUAACAAAAUGCCAUGAACUGAUUGGUUUAUAAACAACACAAAUGUAUUUCUACAGUUCUGAAGGCUGGGAAGUUCACAAUCAAAGUGCUAGCAGAUUUGGUGUCUGGUGAGGUCUGCUUUCUAAUUCAUAGAUGGUGCCUUCUCACUGUGUCCUUACAUAGUGGAAGGCAUGAGGCAACUCUCCGGGACUUCUUUUAUAAGGACACUAGUUCCAUUC
rnacentral:lncRNA from 10 species